rnacentral:lncRNA from 1 species
GAAAAGAAUUAUCUCCUUGUGAUGACCAAAAGAACGGGAUGAGGAAGCAGACAACAAGUGGCAGAACGUCUUCUAUAAGAAAGCCACCUGAUCCCACAAGCCUGGGGAAGUCUUUAAGACCACAGGCUGGGCCAGGUAUUUAAGGAAUGGCCCUGAGGACCUGAGGAAAAUCAAGGUGAUGUCUUCCCCCAGACUCAUCCCCACCUGGAAGGAUUUUAGCUACCUCAUAAAUGACAUCAUACAAAAAAGCAAGGAAUCUUUAGAUGACUCAAAGAGUGAAACAGUUGUGCUAAGUGACCGGUCCCAGACACUAUUCAAAGAAUCUCGACAUCCUCAAAAUAUGCCACUUAUAUGCCAUUACUUCUGUGAUGCCGACUUCUUUGCCUCCCUCUCCUGGGUGACACCCCACACAAAAGAAAUGCAGGCUAUAGUGUGGACAAAGAGCAAAUCUGAGGACAUGGUUGAGAAGAGAGCUUUCUCCAUGACCGAGCGACUGCCACCCAUCCAGUCAAUGGCGCACACAGGUUCCUUCCAUAUCCUCGUGGCCUACUGUGGUGACAUGAUCCUGCGCCUCUUCGGGGACCACUUUCGGGCGUUCAAACCCCUAGCCACUGUGCCCUGCCGCUUCAACAUCAACUGUCUCUGCUAUGACCCAGAAAUGAAGAUGCUUCUGUCUGGCACCCGGGGGUCAGUGGUCAGCUGGGUCAUUGAUCAAAGUGGCAAGGGCCUGCAGAUGGCUCACACGAUUUCCAUGCCUGGUGAUGAGCUUGUCCAGGACAUCGUGCUGAAUGGCCCCAACGGCUCCCUCCUAGCCCUGUGUGAGACUGUGGUGAGAGCCCUUGCGCGCCAGGGCCAGGGCAGGCUGGGAGAGGUGAAGAAGUUCAUGUCCACCAGGAGUGGCUCCUCUAUCACCUGCUGCUUCACCUCCUUGGAUAAGGGUUUUCUCUAUGCUGGAAACAAGGCUGGGGAAAUCCAAGUAUGGAACCUCAGUCACAGCCACGCCCUCCACAAUUUCAAGGCGCACUCCUCAUCUGUGGUUUGUAUCCGCAGCCGGUCCGAGGCCAACACCCUGCUAACAGCCGGCCACGAAGGCUUGAUGAAGGAGUGGAACCUUACUUCAGGGACCCUGCUUCGGCAACUAGAACUUGGUGAGGAGCUGUACCGCCUCCAGUUUAUUGAUGACACUACCUUCUUCUGCCAAAGUACCCAUACGUUUUCCUUGUACCGUCUACCCUGCUUCUAUAAUCUCUUCCACGUCUGUGGGUCUGCUCCCCAGCAGGUACAUCGGGUCUGCUGUGGCGAUAACUGGUACAGGAUCCUGUGCAUUACAGAAGAUGGCCUGUUGCGCUUUGUGUCCCCAUUAACAGGGGAUCUUCUGCUUUUCACCUGGCCCCUCUCCAUCCUGGACGAGGCUGUGGAUUGGGCCUAUGACCCGCGUAAAGAGGAGCUCUUUGUGGCAACGGGCAGCACAGACGUGCUGGUGUUUGACACAACCCGCUGUCCUUGCCCAGCCAAAUAUCUUUUAUGCACCUCACCAAAUCCUCAGGACUUUGUACACUGCCUGGCUUACGGGCAUUUCCACCUGGGGCGAGGGAUGGAAGGACUGAUAUUCUCUGGGCACCAGAGUGGUAUAAUAAGAGUGCUUUCUCAGCAUAGCUUUGCCCGAAUAGAGAAAUUCAUACACUAUGGGGCUGUACUGGCACUCUCUACGCUGUCUGCGAGGCUUCUGAGUGGCCGGGAAAACUCUUUGCUGUGUUCCUAUGGGAUGGAUGACUAUAUACACUUAUCAGAAGUUGUGCUUGAUAGGAGCAAAGUACAACUGCAGCUCCUUGCAAGCAUUCUCAGCAGCUGUCCCCUAAAACAACUGGUAC